GAUCAGAGGGGAAGAGUGAACAGCAGUAACAGUUGCUUGGAUGGUCAGAUUUGGGGAGAUUGAUGCUGAGUUUUACUUUUCAAACGCAAGCAGCUGCAGUGAGAGUGUGAUGUUUUCAUGGGGAAGCCUUGGCUCAUUCUGCUCAUUGAUCAAGCUGAUCCUGACCAGUCCUCAAAGACACUGCGAAACCAGCAUGACCAGGUGUGUAAUGGUCACAUUCUCUGGCUCCUGAUUGGUCCUCUGGACCCCCUGUUGCAUUCGGACCUGAAAGAAGGAGGAGCCUCAGGGUCCGCAUGCUGUUCUGCUGCAGAAGGUACUGAGGAUUUAACAGCAGUGUCGCCCAGCAUCCCUCCAGUGCUGCUCCAGGCUGCCUGUAUGCCGCCUGAUUACCCAGCAUCCCCAGCGCUGUCUCACAGAUGUGGGCGUGUCCUGUCCCUGCAUGGCCCCAUCCGCAGGGAGGGAUGGCGGCACGCUGGUCUGCUGCCCUGCAGCGCCCCCUGGUGUCCACUCUGUGGUACAGCCUGAGGUGGGAGUGUCUCCCCCUCACACUGAUUCUGUUCACUGUCCCACCCAGCCUGGGAUCCACAGCGCUCGCUGCAGACUGCGCUGGGCUAACGGUUUGAAAUGACAGGAGCCAAAAGACACCAGAUACACUCCUAAAAAUGACUGUUUAUUUAAAAAGUGUUUUUAAAAAAUAUAUAUUUUCACCAAUAUUCAGAACAUCAUCUAUACACUCAUAUAAUUGCAUGAUUUAGUCAGUAACAUUUUCAAAAUUCUGUGACCUGCAGGACUUUUUUUCAACUUUAAUAGGAUCUAAAGUAAUGGGUAAGGAGCUAGUCUUGUAAAGGUCACAAGUUCGAUUCCAAGGUAGGUCACUGCCAUUUUUACCCUUGAGCAAAGUACUUAGCCCGCAUUUCUUCAGUAUAUAUCCAGCUGUAUAAAUGGAUGUAAUGUAAUAAAUGCUAUGUAAAAAGUUGUAUAAGUUGCUCUUGCUAAAUGCCUGUAAUGUAGUGUAAUACUCCUUAGUGAUGACUUUACAGUGAGGGAGGCCUGCUCACCCAAAUGGCCACUGUAGUGUAGAACCUGUGUGAGGGUGCACGGCAGCCAUUUUGUGUGAGACUACAAGGCCCAAGGCUCAGCUGGAAUAACAGAGGGUGUGCGCCAGAGUUUCGCCUUAAACGCUUAAUGUUCUUAGUGGCCCACAGUGGCCUUGUUGCAUUUCUAUGCUAAAUGAAUGUAAAUCAGGAAAAUGCUACUUACCUCUCCAGUACCAAUGGGCAGGCUAUAUGACACAAUUAAAAACUGUGCUUGCCUUGCAUAGAAUUAAACUGUUCACACUACAUGCCUAUAGUGCUGUGAAAAAGUA